GAUGAACGCUAGCGGCAGGCUUAAUACAUGCAAGUCGAGGGGCAGCAUGACUGUAGCAAUACAGUUGAUGGCGACCGGCAAACGGGUGCGGAACACGUACGCAACCUACCCAAAACUGAGGAAUAGCCCGGGGAAACCCGGAUUAAUACUUCGUAACAUAAUUGAAUGGCAUCAUUUAAUUAUUAUAGCUCCGGCGGUUUUGGAUGGGCGUGCGCCUGAUUAGGUAGNGGUAGGGUAACGGCCUACCAAGCCAACGAUCAGUAACUGGUGUGAGAGCACGACCAGUCACACGGGCACUGAGACACGGGCCCGACUCCUACGGGAGGCAGCAGUAAGGAAUAUUGGUCAAUGGACGCAAAGUCUGAACC
rnacentral:rRNA from 1 species